CCAGGGUUGGCAGAGCGGUUGAUGCGCGGGUCUGUAAAACCCGUUUAGCCUAGUUCAACUCUAGGACCCUGGA
rnacentral:tRNA from 1 species